CUGAAUUAACGAAGUUGGUUGAUGCUGGUCUUUCGGGAUAUGUGCUCGCCGCUUCAAAUUCACCCUUUUACCACCUGUGCACUUUUGUAGAUUGCAAUACCUCUCAACGAUUGAUUUCGUUGGAUAGAAAGACAUGCGCUUCAGCUGUCCUUCAAUUUUGCAGUCUAUUUUACAUCUCCAUAUACAAGUCUUAGAAUGUCCUUUGUGGGUCGAAAGACCUAUAAAACUUAAUA
rnacentral:misc_RNA from 1 species